rnacentral:lncRNA from 1 species
AGAGACUAAAGAGGUACUGUGACAUCUGUCUUGAUUACUCUGUCUCUCUCUCAGAUCAUUCAUGCAGGGAAAACCAACUUCCAUGCCUUGUAGACACUAAGGCAGCCCUGAGGAGAGGUCUAUAUAACAAGAAAUCAAGACCCCCCCCAGCCAACAGCCAGUGUUGCUCGAUGAGGAGUCCAGAAACCUGGCCACAGGAAGAAUAGUUGCAAGUACUGGAAAUGUUUAACAUAGAAAAAAGAAGGUUCGGCAUGGGCAAAGUAUCUUCAGGUUCUUAUAGCACUUGCCAGCAAUAACCACAUUGCUUCCCCUUGUCCAGUCUCCCCUCUCUGAGGAGAUAUGAUGAAAGCCAAAUGGACAAGCAUCCAUGUCUGAGGGUCGUGCCAUGACGAUUGACUCAGUUACCCUGAAACUGC